rnacentral:rRNA from 1 species
GCGGCGCGCCAGACUUUGAUCAUGGCUCANGAUGAACGCUAGCUACAGGCUUAACACAUGCAAGUCGAGGGGAAACGAUAUUGGAAGCUUGCUUCCGAUAGGCGUCGACCGGCGCACGGGUGAGUAACGCGUAUCCAACCUGCCCACCACUUGGGGAUAACCUUGCGAAAGUAAGACUAAUACCCAAUGAUAUCUCUAGAAGACAUCUGAAAGAGAUUAAAGAUUUAUCGGUGAUGGAUGGGGAUGCGUCUGAUUAGCUUGUUGGCGGGGUAACGGCCCACCAAGGCAACGAUCAGUAGGGGUUCUGAGAGGAAGGUCCCCCACAUUGGAACUGAGACACGGUCCAAACUCCUACGGGAGGCAGCAGUGAGGAAUAUUGGUCAAUGGACGAGAGUCCGAACCAGCCAAGUAGCGUGCAGGAAGACGGCCCUAUGGGUUGUAAACUGCUUUUAUAAGGGAAUAAAGUGAGUCUCGUGAGACUUUUUGCAUGUACCUUAUGAAUAAGGACCGGCUAAUUCCGUGCCAGCAGCCGCGGUAAUACGGAAGGUCCAGGCGUUAUCCGGGUUUAUUGGGUUUAAAGGGAGCGUAGGCCGGAGAUUAAGCGUGUUGUGAAAUGUAGAUGCUCAACAUCUGAACUGCAGCGCGAACUGGUUUCCUUGAGUACGCACAAAGUGGGCGGAAUUCGUGGUGUAGCGGUGAAAUGCUUAGAUAUCACGAAGAACUCCGAUUGCGAAGGCAGCUCACUGGAGCGCAACUGACGCUGAAGCUCGGAAGUGCGGGUAUCGAACAGGAUUAGAUACCCUGGUAGUCCGCACGGUAAACGAUGGAUGCCCGCUGUUGGUCUGAAUAGGUCAGCGGCCAAGCGAAAGCAUUAAGCAUCCCACCUGGGGAGUACGCCGGCAACGGUGCAACUCAAAUGAAUUGAC